GCAAGUCGAGGGGUAACAUGAGAGCUUGCUCUUGAUGACGACCGGCGGACGGGUGCGGAACGCGUAUGCAACCUACCUAGUACAAGGGAAUAACCCGUGGGAACAUGGAUUAAUGCCCUAUAAUAUUUCGAGUCAUAAGGCUUGAUUUUGAAAGAUUUAUUGGUAUUAGAUGGGCAUGCGUAUGAUUAGUUAGUUGGUGAGGUAACGGCUCACCAAGACGAUGAUCAUUAGGGGGUCUGAGAGGAUGAUC
rnacentral:rRNA from 1 species